GCUCCGGUGGCUUAGUGGUUAAAGCGUCCGCUUUGGAUGCGGGAGGACGUGGAUUCGAUCCCCGGUCGAGUCA